UGCUUAUGAAAUGUGCCACUUUGACAACCCUGGAGAAUGAAACCCUCCAUUAAUGCCCAGAAUGCUUAAAGCACAGGUGGCCACAGGGCUUUCUUACCCACAAUGCACACCUGAGGGACCUGCUCUUGGGAUAAGCAUGUAACUCUGUUUCCAUGAGUCUCAAGUGACACUACCAACAAGGAUGUCAGCUAACACCAGUUAAUACAGACUCUCACUGACCAGCUUAACUCAAUUAUUAUGGCCCAGAAGCAUCAUUCCAUGAUGUCAUAACUUCCAGAAAGCUGCAGCAAUAAUGAGUCAACCCAACAGGGAGACAGAAAGGCUUCUUUUUGAUCCUGCCUGAACUGCUCAAGGUACAGCACCCUAGCAGAAGAAGAGACCAGCAUACUAGGGCUCCUUAUAUAUCCAAUAAAACCCUUGUUUAUUUUC